UAAGCGGAGGAAAAGAAACUAACAAGGAUUCCCCUAGUAACUGCGAGUGAAGCGGGAAAAGCUCAAAUUUAAAAUCUGGUGGUCUUUGGCCAUCCGAGUUGUAAUUUAGAGAAGCGUCUUCCGCGCUGGACCGUGCACAAGUCUCCUGGAAUGGAGCGUCAUAGAGGGUGAGAAUCCCGUCUUUGGCACGGAUGUACCAGGGCUUUUGUGAUGCGCUCUCGAAGAGUCGAGUUGUUUGGGAAUGCAGCUCAAAAUGGGUGGUGAACUCCAUCUAAAGCUAAAUAUUGGCGAGAGACCGAUAGCGAACAAGUACCGUGAGGGAAAGAUGAAAAGCACUUUGGAAAGAGAGUGAAACAGUACGUGAAAUUGUUGAAAGGGAAACGCUUGAAGUCAGUCGCGUCGACCGAGACUCAGCCUUGCCUCGGCUUGGUGUACUUCUCGGCUGACGGGUCAGCAUCAAUUUUGCCCCUUGGAUAAUGGCGAGGGAAAUGUGACACCUUUACGGUGUGUUAUAGUCCUUCGUCGCAUGCAAGGGUCGGGAUUGAGGAACUCAGCACGCGCCCUCGGGCGUCGGGGCNUUGCCCACGAUACGUGCUUAGGAUGUUGGCGUAAUGNCUUUAAAC
rnacentral:rRNA from 1 species